CCUACGGGGGGCAGCAGUGGGGGAUAUUGCACAAUGGGGGGAACCCUGAUGCAGCGACGCCGCGUGGGUGAAGAAGGGCCUCGGCGCGGAAAGCCCUGUCAGCAGGGAAGAAAAUGACGGUACCUGAAGAAGAAGCCCCGGCUAACUACGUGCCAGCAGCCGCGGUAAGACGUAGGGGGCAAGCGUUAUCCGGAUUUACUGGGUGUAAAGGGGGCGGAGACGGGGCUGAAAGCCAGGAGUGAAAGCCCGGGGCCCAACCCCGGGACGGCUCUUGGAACUGCGUGGCUGGAGUGCAGGAGGGGCCGGCGGCAUUCCUGGUGUAGCGGUGUAAUGCUUAGAUAUCAGGCGGAACACCGGUGGCGACGGCGGCCUGCUGGACUGCAACUGACGUUGAGGCCCGCAAGCGUGGGGAGCAAACAGGAUUAGAUACCCUAGUAGUC
rnacentral:rRNA from 1 species